UNCUAUGCCACCAUGUUGCCGGUCCAUAGC
rnacentral:piRNA from 1 species